rnacentral:rRNA from 1 species
CGUAGGGUGCAAGCGUUGUCCGGAAUUAUUGGGCGUAAAGAGCUCGUAGGCGGUUUGUCGCGUCUGCUGUGAAAACCCGAGGCUCAACCUCGGGCCUGCAGUGGGUACGGGCAGACUAGAGUGCGGUAGGGGAGAUUGGAAUUCCUGGUGUAGCGGUGGAAUGCGCAGAUAUCAGGAGGAACACCAAUGGCGAAGGCAGAUCUCUGGGCCGUAACUGACGCUGAGGAGCGAAAGCAUGGGGAGCGAACAGG